AGUAACACGUGAGCAACCUACCUAGAAGCCCGGGAUAGCUCUGGGAAACCAGAAUUAAUACCGGAUGUGGUCACAUCAAGACAUCUUGGAGUGAAAAAAGGGGCAACCCGCUUUUUGACGGGCUCGCGGUCUAUUAGCUUGUUGGUGGGGUAACGGCCUACCAAGGCGAUGAUGGAUAGCUGGUCUGAGAGGACGAUCAGCCACACUGGGACUGAGACACGGCCCAG
rnacentral:rRNA from 1 species